GCCAGCCAGGGCAGUGACCUAGGGUGACCGCCGCUGGGCCUUGACUGAGUCUUGGAUGGGCAAAGUAUGGUAGUGUCUGUUUGUUGCUUGUUGGGGGUCUUUACAAGGGGACAACAGAGGAUGAGAUGGUUGGAUGGUAUCAUCGACUCAAUGGACGUGAGCUGGCUUUCCUCAGAGGUUUCCUUGAGGAGUUUGCUUUGGGUGUGAGGACAGGCCUGGAAACAGACAAGUGGAGCUCAAGUGAGGUGCUUUCUUCCUCCAGGACUUUAACAGAGAAUCUGGCUGGGUGGAAACACUGGCGCAUCGGAUGGGAAGAGAGGGCUCUGGAACUACAGAUAUGAGCAUGGUGGAUGCUUUACCUGCUGAGCCAUUGGGAAGAAGUCCGGUUUUAAGUGGGUUUCUUUUACCUCCUUAGUUAAAUUUAUCUGUAGAUAUUUUAUUCUUUUUGAAGCAAUUGUAAGUGGGAUUGCUUUCUUAAUUUCUCUUUCCAAUAGUUCACUAUCAGUGUAUAGAAAUGCCACAGAUAUUUGCAUAUUGAUUUUGAAUUCUGAAACUUUACUGAAUUUGUUUAUAAUUUCUAGUAAUUUUUUAGUGGAGUCUUUAGGGUUUUCUAAAUGUAAUAUCAUGUCAUCUGCAAAUAGGACAGUUUUACUUCUUCCUUUUCAAUUUGGAUGCUUUUUAAUUUAUUUUUCUUGUCUAAAUGGUCUGGGAAGGACUUCCAACACUAUGUUCAAUAAAAGUAGUGAGAGUGGGCAUCCUUGUCUUGUUCAUGAUCUUAGAAGAAUGCUUUUAGCUUUCACCAUUGAGUAUGAUGUUAACAGUGAGCUUAUCAUAUAUGGCCUUUAUUAUGUGAGGUACAUUCCCUCUAUAUCUACUUUGUUG
ensembl:lncRNA